rnacentral:rRNA from 1 species
UACGGAGGGUGCAAGCGUUGAUCGGAAUUACUGGGCGUAAAGCGCACGCAGGCGGUCUGUCAAGUCGGAUGUGAAAUCCCCGGGCUCAACCUGGGAACUGCAUUCGAAACUGGCAGGCUAGAGUCUUGUAGAGGGGGGUAGAAUUCCAGGUGUAGCGGUGAAAUGCGUAGAGAUCUGGAGGAAUACCGGUGGCGAAGGCGGCCCCCUGGACAAAGACUGACGCUGAGGUGCGAAAGCGUGGGGAGCAAACAGG